ACCAGCUCAGGAACCCCCAUAAAGGAAUCUACCACAGUCACCAUCUCAGAAACAUGAAGCAGAGAGUGAUACAGCAGCCACUGACCCCCAGUCCUACAUAGAACAACUCCAUCAGGAAAUUACAUGAACAGGAAAGUAACCCAAGGAGGUUGAC